rnacentral:lncRNA from 10 species
GUGGAGCAGCUGACUUCUGCCCCUGGACCUCAGUGUUGCUCCUUCUCUGGCUUCAGACUCAGACGGAGUCACAUCACUGGCCUUCCAGCUCACAGACACCAGCUUAUGGGUCUUCAGACCUCUUGGCCUCUAUAAUCUUGUUCCUGGUCUUGAGGGCUUCAGCAGUGAAACUGCAAACCUUCCUGGUGAGUAUUACAGCUCACAAACCUAGUGCAGACCCAAAGUGCUAGGAAUAACAACAUUUAGUUCAAAAAACCAAAAAAACCCCUCCUCCUCUCCCCCCCCCCCACCCCCCCCCAAGAAAGUGACCCAAGCAGGUUGCCGCUGUUGGUCUGCGUGGUCUGCUUUUAUUCCCUUAUCUGGCCCCACCCACAUCCUGCUGAUUGGUCCAUUUUACAGAGAGCUGAUUGGCCCAUUUUACAGAGAGCUGAUUGGUCCGUUUUGACAGAGUGCUGAUUGGUGCGUUUACAAUCCUUUAGCUAGACAGAAAAGUUCUCCAAGUCCUCACUGGACCCAGAAGCGCAACCGGCUUCACCUCUCGCAGUCCAGGCGGGACUUUGCGGCACCUGUCCCAGGCACUCCUGCUUCCCAGAGGGAGGUCUUCCCAGCCAAUCAAGAGGAAGAGAGGAGAAGCUAGUAACAGAAGGAGACCCGCCAUCGUGGCCAACGACACCGCGAAGAGGGAAGGGCGGUCCAUGCACGAGACCCAGCGUCCAAUCAAGCCCAGCAGGCGCCGGCCAGCCGCGGUGAGUGCGGGGCCCGCCGAUCCCGUGCCCACCCGGAACCCGCGCAGCCUGCGAACGCCUCGCGCAGCCCCGGUUCCCGCCUUCGCCUCUCUUUUCAAACUUCCCCGCGAGCAGAGGGACCCGGCCCCGGCCUAGGGGCAGCCCCAGAGAGGGGCCCUCAUAGUGCAGUGGGGGGCUGAAGGGCUCCUCCAGCGAGGCCAGAGUGGACGCCGAGGCCGAGGAGGCGCUGAGAGCGAGGGAGGGCUGCUAGCACAUUUUCACCUCUCAGUAAGACAUCACCUGGUCUAGCGCGGUCUCCCUUCUCACCGCACCGCACCUUCCUCUUGCGCUCCAGACCACGUCCAGCUGCCUAUUCCAAUUUCAUUUUGCUGUUCAGGCGUUUGUUUAAAUUAUGGCAGGAGCACAUGACCUCGGGCAUGGGGGCGCCAAGCAUGCCAGAGUAUCUAGACACAAAGCAGGGCUGGCUGCAUCUCCAACCCCGCCCCACCGUCUGGACUGCUUUCUUUACAUGGAUCUACACACUGUGUGUACAUACGAAAUAAAAUAUACAGUUUUUUCUAGCGAUGCUGCAUUUUCACAAAUGGAAUCAUACAUAUUUCAUGCGUUGUCUGCAACUUGCUUUUUACAUAUAACACCAUGUCCCGGGAGCUUUCCACGUUGGCCCACUUAGCUCGAUCUCAUUUUCUUUGAUGGCUGCAGAGGCCUCUGCCCUGUGGGGCGAUGCUGCUGUGUAACAAGAUCUCCUCCGCCGGCGAAGAAUUAAGGUGCUUCUCUUUUCUUCCCCUUCUAAUUCUUUUUUUUUUUUUUUCUAUUACCAAAAUGACUGCAGCUAGCAUGGAUGCACAUGAUUCCCCUGUGUUCAGGCAGGCAUCCCUAUCCACAGCAGAGGCCUCAAACAGGCUUUCUCUGCUGGCUUGUGCUGGACGUUUCCAUAUUGUUUUCUGAGAAGGUUGUAAAAAUUAUUCACCACCAGCCGCGCAGCCAAAUACUUUUUACACCUUUACCAUCGCUAGAAACGUUAAUCCUUGUCUUUCACCUCCAGUUUUAUGAGUGAAAAACAAUAGCUCAUGAUUACCUUCAUCAACAUCUUUGAUUUCCAGUGAAAUCAAGGAUUCUUUAGAUUUGUGUUUGUAGAUCUCUAGAUAUCUUUCUUUAAUCCACAGAAUUUACCCGUGUUUGUGACUUGGAACUCUGUGUUGAUUUUGUCCCCUGGCAGCCUGUUUUCCAGACAGUCCAUCUGCUCUUUCCGUGGAACAUGCCCUUCCCAGUGUACCUCACCGCCCGGAGAUACAUCCGUUUCUUUCUGGGAUCUCUAAUUUGAACCUUGUCUGCAAGACCAAUUUUCAUUGUUUUUUGGGUUUUUGUUUUUUGUUUUUUGUUUUUUUUUCCCCCCAGGAAACCAUGUUUACUAAGCAUGUUCUUUUCCAGGUGAAUUUCAGUCAGUGCGUCAAAUUCCGUAAAAGAUGCAAUUGCAGUUUAACUGGGAUUCCACGGUGCAUUUCGAUCACUUUGGGAGACCGUUGACAUCUUUACAAUGUUAAUUUUCUCGUUCAAGAUUUCUCUCCAUUUACUCAGAAAGUUUCUUUUGUGUCUGCCAAUAAAGUUUUAGUUUUCCUCUCACAGGUUUUGUGUGCAUUUUUGUUACUUCCAACCUCUGCCCCCUGGUAUUUUACAGUUUUUCUAGCUAUUGUAAAUGGGACAGCUUCUUUCAAAUGGUUAUUUCUUGUGUAUAAAGAUAUGGAUUUUUAU